GCUUCUGUAGCACAGCGGUAGUGCCUCCAAACUAUAUUGGAAUAAUGUAUGCCCGUUUAAUGGAGGACCCUUGUUCGACUCAAGGCGGAGGCA